AUGGAAACAUGUUGACAUAGAUCCUAAUGAAAAUAAGGAUAACUAAUUGAAACAACCUAUAAGAAAUGAGAUUCAUCAUCUUUGGGCUACCUGUAUGGUACAAAAAAAAGUCAUAAUCUGGCCACAGCUGUUUUAUUGAGAAAGGAGUUUUCUGACGGAUGAAAAUUGACAAAACCAGCUCCUAGGACAUCUAUGACUCUUCACUCCAGCAAACAGAACAGGAUUACAACCAAAUGUUCUAUACAGAGCACUCUUUGAAGGAAGCUACAGCAGGAGUAAAAUGCAGCUGGAUGCUAGUUUGGCAACAUUAGCCACAUGCUCCACCCAUUCUUUAACAACUGCACUGGCUUCUUACUUGCUUCUGUGUGCAAUACAAGGGUGCCUGGACAAGGAGUCUAUGGAACGUGAUGAGAAGGGCAGAUGGUUCAGCAUAAGGCCCUGAAACCCUUUUGGACAGAAACGGGAGCCAGUUUUGAAGCAAUGACAGCAGAAAGCAGAAGAAAGAAGGGGGGGUAUAGGAAAGGUAGAACAGAGAUGAUUCAGAGGAAUGGAAAAUGAGCAGUGGAAUCAGAAAGGAUCUCAAUAAGUUCUACAAACAUUCAUGAUUCAAGGCUGUUAGUGUCCCAUUUGUAUCUUCAGCAUAAAGAAUUGGUUAAUCUUGCUGAUCCCUGCAGCAGUGUGUUGAGACAGUAACUCUUUCGAGUAGGGUCCCAAAUUUGCUAUGUUUCAAUAUAGCGUCUAGCACAUAUCGGUGCCCUGUCCUGAUUGAAGCCACUAAGUGCUACCACAAUACAAGAGUUAAAUAGUAAUAUUGAUAAAUGCUAAUAGUUGCAAAUUAAUCCUGAGGCUAUCUGAUAUUGAGCUUCUCUCCACAUUUGUGACUGUGCUUUCAUUUCACUCAGGACACCUUUGCUUGCUAUUAUUUAUACAACAGG